UGGAAGUCGGUAUGGUCCAAUAAAUAAAUACAAAUCGUGGCUUACCAAAAACUGCUGCACAGCACGGCAAACACAUAGUGUAAGCGUGACUGCUUUCAAACCGUGCUAAUAUACAGUGAUGGCUUGACACAUAUAUAAAACAAACUGAAGAUAAUUUAGAAGUUAGAGGAACUUUGUAGUAUGGUCAAAAUCACUAAGGAGAGCCUCUGUUCUGCCUUUUUUUGCCACCUGCCACGCAUGCUUUUUGCUAUCAUUGCACACUGCGUAUGCUCAACCCAUCUGCUAUGGAAAUAGCUACCCAACACCAACCAAGAGACGAAAAAGAUUGAGAAGCCACCAAUGCUGAAUGGCUGUGUGGGAGGGACUGUCCUUCUGUUGUGGUGACUGGUACAAGACUGGUACAGCAUUCAAUGUGUUGAAACCCCAAGAGGCAAUGAUGUCUGUCCAGCUGGACACACACACACACACACACACACACAUACUGGAGAGAGCACUGGCUCCAGCUGGUCACACACACACACACACACACUCUGAUGUUGUUGUCCAGCACAGGGCUCUACCAGGGACUGAGUGCUGGGAUUUCAGGGAUUUCAGAUGGCUGUAUCACAUCAAUACCAGCCAAUUGUAUUAUUUUAGGCUCAGCUCACCGCUACCACCCCCGUGCUGACGACGAACACACGCUGUCCUCCGAAAUGUGUGCCAUCAGCCGACCGCUUUUUUUUCAUUCUGCAGGCCCGGCAUGCAGCCACCUCAGAGCUACAGCGUCGGAGGACAACACAGCUUUGGGCAGUUUACGUGCAAGCCCGCAGGCACCCAGCCAGCCUGCAGGGGUCGCUGGUGAGCGGUGAGCCAAGGACACUCUGGCCGACCUUUUAUCCCUCCCAACCCAGCCGACGCUCGGCCAAUAGUGCGCUGCCCCUUGGGAGCUCUCGUCCACGGUCGGCAGUGGAAUAGCCUGGACUCGAACCGGAGACCUCCAGGCUAUAGGGCGCAUCCUACGCUCUGUGUGGAGCGCCUUUACCGGUUCAGCCGCUCGGGAACCCCAGCGUUGUAUUAUUAAUAAAGGAUGUACAAUGCGUUUCAACUUAUUAUACAUAGAUUGGAAAUAAAAUUGAAGAUGACAAAAUUAAAUUAGCCUUUUAUAUGAAUGUACAUUUACAUACAUACAGUACAUACAUAAAUACACACAUACAUGCAUGAUGUUAGCCAGAGUGAGGCAAUGACCCCGGUAUUACAAUAUGCAGUUUGUCCCCUUUGUCUCCCAAUAUAUUCUGUCCAGAACAUUCCAAUGUGUUGGCAGGCAGUCUGAAGAACGGUGGGCUGGGAAGGAGUCCUGGUUCAUAUUUCAUGAACCACCUUAAGAAGAGCCCUGUCCCUGGGGAGGGGGCUGCGUUUGUGUAAGUGCGCUGAUGCCUCUCCGGUGCUCACUGAAGCAGCUUGGUGCUAAUGCACCCUGCCACAGUCUCCAGCACAAAGUGACAAUGUGACCUGGCUGUGCGCAGUGACCACACCCUGACCCCGCUCCGCAGAGACACACCGAGGAGGAGAUGGGGACAGAGAGAGAAAGAGACUGUCCUGCUUCAGAGGAGGGGGUGAGGAGAGCAAGAGAGACGUAGAGAGCUGUUGUGAGAGGGAAGU